rnacentral:rRNA from 1 species
CCUACGGGAGGCAGCAGUGAGGAAUAUUGGUCAAUGGGCGCGAGCCUGAACCAGCCAAGUAGCGUGAAGGAUGACUGCCCUACGGGUUGUAAACUUCUUUUAUAAGGGAAUGAAGUGGUCCACGUGUGCCUUUUUGUAUGUACUUUAUGACUAAGGAUCGGCUAACUCCGUGCCAGCAGCCGCGGUAAUACGGAGGAUCCGAGCGUUAUCCGGAUUUAUUGGGUGUAAAGGGAGCGUAGUUGGGUUGUUAAGUCAGUUGUGAAAGUUUGCGGCUCAACCGUAAAAUUGCAUUUGAUACUGGCAGUCUUGAGUACAGUAGAGGUAGGCGGAAUUCGUGGUGUAGCGGUGAAAUGCUUAGAUAUCACGAAGAACUCCGAUUGCGAAGGCAGCCUACUAGACUGCAACUGACAGUGAGGCUCGAAAGUGUGGGUAUCAAACAGGAUUAGAUACCCUAGUAGUC